GACGAACGCUGGCGGCGCGCCUAACACAUGCAAGUCGAACGAGCGAGCGAGAGCUUGCUUUCUCAAGCGAGUGGCGAACGGGUGAGUAACGCGUGAGGAACCUGCCUCAAAGAGGGGGACAACAGUUGGAAACGACUGCUAAUACCGCAUAAGCCCACGACCCGGCAUCGGGUAGAGGGAAAAGGAGCAAUCCGCUUUGAGAUGGCCUCGCGUCCGAUUAGCUAGUUGGUGAGGUAACGGCCCACCAAGGCGACGAUCGGUAGCCGGACUGAGAGGUUGAACGGCCACAGUGGGACUGAGACACGGCCCAGACUCCUACGGGAGGCAGCAGUGGGGAAUAUUGCACAAUGGGGGAAACCCUGAUGCAGCGACGCCGCGUGGAGGAAGAAGGUCUUCGGAUUGUAAACUCCUGUUGUUGAGGAAGAUAAUGACGGUACUCAACAAGGAAGUGACGGCUAACUACGUG
rnacentral:rRNA from 1 species